ACUCUCGUGUCAGAGUUUGAUCCUGGCUCAGGACGAACGCUGGCGGCGUGCCUAAUACAUGCAAGUCGAGCGAAGUUUUCUGGUGCUUGCACCGGAAAAACUUAGCGGCGAACGGGUGAGUAACACGUAAAGAACCUGCCUCAUAGACUGGGACAACUAUUGGAAACGAUAGCUAAUACCGGAUAACGGCAUUAACUGCAUGGUUGAUGUUUAAAAGUUGGUUUUGCUAACACUAUGAGAUGGCUUUGCGGUGCAUUAGCUAGUUGGUGGGGUAAAGGCCUACCAAGGCGACGAUGCAUAGCCGACCUGAGAGGGUGAUCGGCCACACUGGGACUGAGACACGGCCCAG
rnacentral:rRNA from 1 species